rnacentral:lncRNA from 1 species
GCCCCAAUCUUUCAUAUAAGAUAAAUUGGGACUAUAGUCUUUUCAUAACUCGUAUGGAGUUCUGUUAACCAAUUUAGAUGGGACAUGGUUUAGUGUGUUGCACACUGCAAUCAAUGCGUUAUCUCAAAACAAUUUUGAGAAAUUUGCAUGGCUUGUUAUUAAUCGCAUUAUAUGUAAUAAUUAACGAUUCCUCCUUUUAGAUACACCAUCUUGCUGCAGUGUAUAUGAAGGAGUCCACUGCAAGAGAAUCUCAUUCUCUCUUAGAUAAUCUAAAUUUCAUCUUUAAGAUACUCUCACUUGAUCGAAUCUUAAUGUGUGAGUAUCUUUACCUAUUUGUUUCUCUAAUUCUAGUGUCAAUCCCUUGAAC